GAAAUGCGAUAAGUAAUGUGAAUUGCAGAAUUCAGUGAAUCAUCGAAUCUUUGAACGCACCUUGCGCUCCUUGGUAUUCCUUGGAGCAUGCCUGUUUGAGUAUCAUGAAAUCUUCAAAGUAAAUCUUUUGUUAACUCAAUUGGUUUCUACUUUGGUAUUGGAGGUCUUUGCAGCUUCACACCUGCUCCUCUUUGUUCAUUAGCUGGAUCUCAGUGUUAUGCUUGGUUCCACUCGGCGUGAUAAUUUAUCUAUCGCUGAGGACACUGUAAAAGGUGGCCAAGGUAAAUGCAGAUGAACCGCUUCUAAUAGUCCAUUGACUUCGACAAUACUUUUAUGAUCUGAUCUCAAAUCAGGUAGGACUACCCGCUGAACUUAAGC
rnacentral:misc_RNA from 1 species